rnacentral:rRNA from 1 species
GGUUAAGCGACUAAGCGUACACGGUGGAUGCCCUGGCAGUCAGAGGCGAUGAAGGACGUGCUAAUCUGCGAUAAGCGUCGGUAAGGUGAUAUGAACCGUUAUAACCGGCGAUUUCCGAAUGGGGAAACCCAGUGUGUUUCGACACACUAUCAUUAACUGAAUCCAUAGGUUAAUGAGGCGAACCGGGGGAACUGAAACAUCUAAGUACCCCGAGGAAAAGAAAUCAACCGAGAUUCCCCCAGUAGCGGCGAGCGAACGGGGAGGAGCCCAGAGCCUGAAUCAGUGUGUGUGUUAGUGGAAGCGUCUGGAAAGGCGCGCGAUACAGGGUGACAGCCCCGUACACAAAAAUGCACAUAUUGUGAGCUCGAUGAGUAGGGCGGGACACGUGGUAUCCUGUCUGAAUAUGGGGGGACCAUCCUCCAAGGCUAAAUACUCCUGACUGACCGAUAGUGAACCAGUACCGUGAGGGAAAGGCGAAAAGAACCCCGGCGAGGGGAGUGAAAAAGAACCUGAAACCGUGUACGUACAAGCAGUGGGAGCACGCUUAGGCGUGUGACUGCGUACCUUUUGUAUAAUGGGUCAGCGACUUAUAUUCUGUAGCAAGGUUAACCGAAUAGGGGAGCCGAAGGGAAACCGAGUCUUAACUGGGCGUUAAGUUGCAGGGUAUAGACCCGAAACCCGGUGAUCUAGCCAUGGGCAGGUUGAAGGUUGGGUAACACUAACUGGAGGACCGAACCGACUAAUGUUGAAAAAUUAGCGGAUGACUUGUGGCUGGGGGUGAAAGGCCAAUCAAACCGGGAGAUAGCUGGUUCUCCCCGAAAGCUAUUUAGGUAGCGCCUCGUGAAUUCAUCUCCGGGGGUAGAGCACUGUUUCGGCAAGGGGGUCAUCCCGACUUACCAACCCGAUGCAAACUGCGAAUACCGGAGAAUGUUAUCACGGGAGACACACGGCGGGUGCUAACGUCCGUCGUGAAGAGGGAAACAACCCAGACCGCCAGCUAAGGUCCCAAAGUCAUGGUUAAGUGGGAAACGAUGUGGGAAGGCCCAGACAGCCAGGAUGUUGGCUUAGAAGCAGCCAUCAUUUAAAGAAAGCGUAAUAGCUCACUGGUCGAGUCGGCCUGCGCGGAAGAUGUAACGGGGCUAAACCAUGCACCGAAGCUGCGGCAGCGACACUAUGUGUUGUUGGGUAGGGGAGCGUUCUGUAAGCCUGCGAAGGUGUGCUGUGAGGCAUGCUGGAGGUAUCAGAAGUGCGAAUGCUGACAUAAGUAACGAUAAAGCGGGUGAAAAGCCCGCUCGCCGGAAGACCAAGGGUUCCUGUCCAACGUUAAUCGGGGCAGGGUGAGUCGACCCCUAAGGCGAGGCCGAAAGGCGUAGUCGAUGGGAAACAGGUUAAUAUUCCUGUACUUGGUGUUACUGCGAAGGGGGGACGGAGAAGGCUAUGUUGGCCGGGCGACGGUUGUCCCGGUUUAAGCGUGUAGGCUGGUUUUCCAGGCAAAUCCGGAAAAUCAAGGCUGAGGCGUGAUGACGAGGCACUACGGUGCUGAAGCAACAAAUGCCCUGCUUCCAGGAAAAGCCUCUAAGCAUCAGGUAACAUCAAAUCGUACCCCAAACCGACACAGGUGGUCAGGUAGAGAAUACCAAGGCGCUUGAGAGAACUCGGGUGAAGGAACUAGGCAAAAUGGUGCCGUAACUUCGGGAGAAGGCACGCUGAUAUGUAGGUGAAGCGACUUGCUCGUGGAGCUGAAAUCAGUCGAAGAUACCAGCUGGCUGCAACUGUUUAUUAAAAACACAGCACUGUGCAAACACGAAAGUGGACGUAUACGGUGUGACGCCUGCCCGGUGCCGGAAGGUUAAUUGAUGGGGUCAGCGCAAGCGAAGCUCUUGAUCGAAGCCCCGGUAAACGGCGGCCGUAACUAUAACGGUCCUAAGGUAGCGAAAUUCCUUGUCGGGUAAGUUCCGACCUGCACGAAUGGCGUAAUGAUGGCCAGGCUGUCUCCACCCGAGACUCAGUGAAAUUGAACUCGCUGUGAAGAUGCAGUGUACCCGCGGCAAGACGGAAAGACCCCGUGAACCUUUACUAUAGCUUGACACUGAACAUUGAGCCUUGAUGUGUAGGAUAGGUGGGAGGCUUGGAAGUGUGGACGCCAGUCUGCAUGGAGCCGACCUUGAAAUACCACCCUUUAAUGUUUGAUGUUCUAACGUUGACCCGUGAUCCGGGUUGCGGACAGUGUCUGGUGGGUAGUUUGACUGGGGCGGUCUCCUCCUAAAGAGUAACGGAGGAGCACGAAGGUUGGCUAAUCCUGGUCGGACAUCAGGAGGUUAGUGCAAUGGCAUAAGCCAGCUUGACUGCGAGCGUGACGGCGCGAGCAGGUGCGAAAGCAGGUCAUAGUGAUCCGGUGGUUCUGAAUGGAAGGGCCAUCGCUCAACGGAUAAAAGGUACUCCGGGGAUAACAGGCUGAUACCGCCCAAGAGUUCAUAUCGACGGCGGUGUUUGGCACCUCGAUGUCGGCUCAUCACAUCCUGGGGCUGAAGUAGGUCCCAAGGGUAUGGCUGUUCGCCAUUUAAAGUGGUACGCGAGCUGGGUUUAGAACGUCGUGAGACAGUUCGGUCCCUAUCUGCCGUGGGCGCUGGAGAACUGAGGGGGGCUGCUCCUAGUACGAGAGGACCGGAGUGGACGCAUCACUGGUGUUCGGGUUGUCAUGCCAAUGGCACUGCCCGGUAGCUAAAUGCGGAAGAGAUAAGUGCUGAAAGCAUCUAAGCACGAAACUUGCCCCGAGAUGAGUUCUCCCUGACUCCUUGAGAGUCCUGAAGGAACGUUGAAGACGACGACGUUGAUAGGCCGGGUGUGUAAGCGCAGCGAUGCGUUGAGCUAACCGGUACUAAUGAACCGUGAGGCUUAACCUU